UACGUAGGGACCAAGCGUUGUUCGGAUUUACUGGGCGUAAAGGGCGCGUAGGCGGCAAUUCAAGUCAUCUGUGAAAUCUCCGGGCUUAACUCGGAACGGUCAGAUGAUACUGCUUUGCUAGAGUGCGGAAGGGGCAAUCGGAAUUCUCGGUGUAGCGGUGAAAUGCGUAGAUAUCGAGAGGAACACCUGAGGUGAAGACGGGUUGCUGGGCCGACACUGACGCUGAGUGCGCGAAAGCGUGGGGAGCAAACAGG
rnacentral:rRNA from 1 species